AUUGAACGCUGGCGGCAGGCCUAACACAUGCAAGUCGAACGAGUGGCGGACGGGUGAGUAAUGUCUGGGAAACUGCCUGAUGGAGGGGGAUAACUACUGGAAACGGUAGCUAAUACCGCAUACCAUCAGAUGUGCCCAUAUGGGAUUAGCUUGUUGGUGGGGUAACGGCUCACCAAGGCGACGAUCCCUAGCUGGUCUGAGGGGAUUACCAGCUAAACUGGAACUGAGACACGGUCCAGACUCGUACGGUAGGCAGCAGUGGGGAAUAUGGCACAAGGGGCGCAAGCCUUAUGCAGCCAUGCCGCGUGUAUGAAGAAGGCCUGCGGGUUGUAAAGUACUUUCAGCGGGGAGGCGUUACCCGCAGAAGAAGCACCGGCUAACUCCGUGACAGCAGCCGCGGUAAUUC
rnacentral:rRNA from 1 species